CCUCGAAAACAUCCAACUCUUCGGCUAUUAUUAGACAUGCAGCAUAUGGCUCGGAAUGAGGCUCCGCCUGAGCCCUAACUGGGCUUCCUGGGCGCACGUGUUGCUUUAGCUUCACAUCGAGGUGGUCGGUCAGUGUGAGACCUGCAGUCUGAGGACCACACUCACAAACCGGGGUGCUGCUCCAACAUCAGCCGCUUUGGUUGAAUUGCUGUCAAACCGCGUUUCUGCAGAUUCAAGCCCCGCUGAUGUCUGACGUCCUCUCGGUGUCCCUCUGAUGUCUGACGUCCUCUCGGUGUCCCUCUGAUGUCUGACGUCCUCUCGGUGUCCCUCUGAUGUCUGACGUCCUCUCGGUGUCCCUCUGAUGUCUGACGUCCUCUCGGUGUCCCUCUGAUGUCUGACGUCCUCUCGGUGUCCCUCUGAUGUCUGAUGUCCUCUCGGUGUCCCUCUGAUGUCUCAGUAGGCUCUUUCAGGGCACGAUCAGCAACGAACAAACAUUACAGCAGCCAGAGAAGAACCGCAGCAUUACAACUGGACUUCCUGUGGACGAUUUGAUUACCACUCUGUUUUCCAGGAAAAAUAAUCCAAUGUGGCUCAAAACAAAGCCUUAACUGUCUGGAUGUCUCGUUCUGUUUUUAUUCCUGAGUUCUGCAGCAAGACUGGAAACUGACAAAGGAAAUAAAACGUUCUGUUUCUGA